rnacentral:rRNA from 1 species
UACGGAGGGGGCUAGCGUUGUUCGGAAUUACUGGGCGUAAAGCGCACGUAGGCGGCUUUGUAAGUUAGAGGUGAAAGCCCGGGGCUCAACUCCGGAAUUGCCUUUAAGACUGCAUCGCUCGAAUUGUGGAGAGGUAAGUGGAAUUCCGAGUGUAGAGGUGAAAUUCGUAGAUAUUCGGAAGAACACCAGUGGCGAAGGCGGCUUACUGGUCCGGAACUGACGCUGAGGUGCGAAAGCGUGGGGAGCAAACAGG